rnacentral:rRNA from 1 species
CAGUAGCCGCGGGAAUACGUAGGGUGCGAGCGUUAAUCGGAAUUACUGGGCGUAAAGCGUGCGCAGGCGGUUAUAUAAGACAGAUGUGAAAUCCCCGGGCUCAACCUGGGACCUGCAUUUGUGACUGUAUAGCUAGAGUACGGUAGAGGGGGAUGGAAUUCCGCGUGUAGCAGUGAAAUGCGUAGAUAUGCGGAGGAACACCGAUGGCGAAGGCAAUCCCCUGGACCUGUACUGACGCUCAUGCACGAAAGCGUGGGGAGCAAACAGGAUUAGAUACCCGAGUAGUCCCUGUCUCUUAUAC